AUGGGUGUUGUGCCGGCUGUACAACAAGAAGAACAGCUGGGAGAAGGUCAAGGUGGAGAAGGACAUUGCUGUGGAGGCAUGGCCUGGACGCUCAUCAACCUCGGCCACUUCUUGAUUACAUACCACUUCUUCCACUGGAAGAAGGGAACUCCAUUCGCUGAUGAUCAGGGGGUGUAUAAUAGAUUGACUUGGUGGGAGCAAAUGGACAACGGCAAGCAGCUUACUCGCAACAGAAAAUUUCUUGUUGUGGUUCCUGUAGUCCUUUCAUAUAGUUACACAAUGCUUUUUAGCUUACAUAUCAUACAGCUAUGCAGUGCUCCCUACACUGUCUGUUUACUAUAUAUAUCAUUCAUGUAUUCUUGGAUAGUACUGACUACAUACCAGGGCAAUUAA
rnacentral:rRNA from 1 species